GACGUAGGGCGCGAGCGUUGUCCGGAUUUAUUGGGCGUAAAGAGCUCGUAGGCGGCUUGUCGCGUCGACUGUGAAAUCCCGCGGCUCAACUGCGGGUCUGCAGCCGAUACGGGCAGGCUAGAGUUCGGUAGGGGAGACUGGAAUUCCUGGUGUAGCGGUGAAAUGCGCAGAUAUCAGGAGGAACACCGGUGGCGAAGGCAGCUCUCUGGGACGGUACUGACGCUGAGACGCGAAAGCCGUGGGGAGCGAACAGG
rnacentral:rRNA from 1 species